GACGAACGCUGGCGGCAUGCCUAAUACAUGCAAGUCGAGCGAACAGAUGAAGUGCUUGCACUUCUGACGUUAGCGGCGAACGGGUGAGUAACACGUAAGGAAUCUACCUAUAAGCGGGGGAUAACAUUCGGAGACGGGUGCUAAUACCGCAUAAUAUCUUCUUCCGCAUGGAAGAAGAUUGAAAGACGGCUCGGCUGUCACUUAUAGAUGACCUUGCGGUGCAUUAGUUAGUUGGUGGGGUAACGGCCUACCAAGACGAUGAUGCAUAGCCGACCUGAGAGGGUGAUCGGCCACAUUGGGACUGAGACACGGCCCAAACUCCUACGGGAGGCAGCAGUAGGGAAUCUUCCGCAAUGGGCGAAAGCCUGACGGAGCAAUGCCGCGUGAGUGAAGAAGGCCUUCGGGUCGUAAAACUCUGUUAUAAGAGAAGAACAAAUUGUAGAGUAACUGCUACAGUCUUGACGGUAUCUUAUCAGAAAGCCACGGCUAACUACGUGCCAGCCGCCGCCGUAA
rnacentral:rRNA from 1 species